rnacentral:rRNA from 1 species
AUCUACAGCCACACUACCCUGAACGUCUGAUCUCUUCUGAACUUGGAAGCUAAGUAGGGUCAGGCUGGUUAGUACUUGGGUGGGAGAAUUGUAAUACUCAUAUUAGCUUGUUGUAUAUU